CACUUCACCUGCUCAUCCUCCCCACUCACCUGUUUUCCAUUCCCUCAUUAGCUCCCUGGUCACUUCCACUAGCCUUUUGACAGAUUGUCUUUGUACUUUAUACCUUAGCUGCUAGAAUUUAGUUUGUUGUUCUACACCUACCUAGUUUUGACCCAGUUUGUGUAUUUUGCCUCAGCCUGACCCCCUUUGGACUGUUGCCUGCCUGGAGUUUUACAUCCUUAUUAGCAACUGCUCUGGAGUUUCUGAAGAGCAUAUGAUUCCUUAAUGCAGCUCUUAAGCCUGAUAACCUCAUGAUGGUGGACCAUUAACGGCAGCCAUUGAGAGUGAGUCAUCGACUUCGGCUUAGCGUGCAACAAUUCUGAGCUAUGGACGGGUGCCACUCUUCAGACCCGAUGGUACAGGCAACGCUGUGACCGCUGACUUCAAGGCACCUAACCCUAACACUCAUCACUCAAUGUGAAAAUGUGCGUGGAGCUGAUGAGUAUCUGUCAGCGGCUGAGCUCUCAUGGUGGCUAGGAUGUGGCUAUGGAAAUCUUCAACAUCGCUGCCAGCCCGCCCUAAUGCCCUGACGAUUCAAACUAUUUUCUGAUUGACGUGGAAGCCCAGACACCACCCCGGCUAAGAAACUGAGGAAUGAAUAGCUGGAUGCAGGGAAGACGGGUGUGCAAAUGAGCCUGCAAAAGUCACCUCUGCACAAAAGAAGAUGGAAGCUGAUCCAUCCAUGACCUCAGAUGGCAACUCCCCAGCAAAGAGGAGUAUUAAACUUAACUUAUUAAACUGGAAAAAGUGCCGAAGGCUCUAAAUAACCUAAAGUUUUCAGUUACUGAAAUGAACGACACAGCGCAAAUGGCUGGACUAUUGGGUGGAAGCGUGAAAAUAUUUUUCCUAAAAAUAGAUUUGCAAAAUAGCACAUUCUACACAACUAACAGUAUAUCGGUUGUAUGUUGGUUCAAGCUGUUAAGCUAACUGGCUUUUUAUGGACCGAUGUUGAGCGUCCGUCGGCCUAGUGUCCGCAACGUCGCUACUCGUCAACCCUCCUCGUCCAACUGGCGUUGGAGAUGCUGGGAGAGAAGAUGGGUCCAAAAGAGGAGCGAUGGACAAGCUGGAGGUGUCAUGGUUUUGGGUUUGAGUUCUGUUGGUUUUGAGGUUCUGUUCUUGUUUCCUGUUUUUGUUGUGUAUUUGUUCUGUUUUCUGUUGUAGCCCGUGUUUCCUCCCUUGUCUUGUCUAGCUGUAGUUCCGGUCUUGUUUUCCCGUGUGUCUGUAUGUUCGGUUUCCUGUUUUAUUUUGACGGUCUGGUUUUCUGUCUUGUUUACUUCCUGUCUUUGGUUUUCCCUCCUUUGUGAUUGCCCUAAUGUGUUUCACCUGUUUCCCAGCCUCGUCACCUCUUGUUUCCUCGUUACCCUGUGUAUUUAGUCUUUGUCUUCCCCCUGUUCUGUGUCAGAUCAUUGCACUGUUUCGGUUUGGAUUGUUUGAGUCUUGUCGCCAGUUUAUGUUCCUGUGUGUUUGCCUUAGUGUUCCGGUGUUCCCAUUUGUGUCUUGGACUUCUUUUUGGAUUUGCCUUUUUGCCUGCUGCGUUCUGGACUUCCUUUGUUGUUUUGUACUUUGUUUUACUGGUCGAAUAAAACCUCGUCACCUACUUA